rnacentral:rRNA from 1 species
CAGUCGCCGCGGGAAUACAGAGGGUGCAAGCGUUAAUCGGAUUUACUGGGCGUAAAGGGCGCGUAGGUGGUUAUGUAAGUGAGAUGUGAAAUCCCCAGGCUCAACCUGGGAACUGCAUCUUAUACUGCGUAGCUGGAGUGCAGUAGAGGGUAGUGGAAUUUCCGGUGUAGCGGUGAAAUGCGUAGAUAUCGGAAGGAACACCAGUGGCGAAGGCGGCUACCUGGACUGACACUGACACUGAGGCGCGAAAGCGUGGGGAGCAAACAGGAUUAGAUACCCCGGUAGUCCCUGUCUCUUAUAC